AUCGAAAGGAAUCCAUCCAUCUCUUACUCUUUGGCAGGGCUCUUCAUGUACUUGACUUUGCAAGGGCAAGAUUUACUGAUGCUUGGCAUGCCUUCAGACCAUGGUCAUUUUCCACAGUGUCAUCAAGGGCUCAUCUCAAGAGUGACCUGACAUCCUCCCUCUCUUUCUCCACAGAACGUACCGUUUAGGAGCAGAUUUCAUUCUGCUGAAUCCCUUGAAGCAGAUUUGACAAGAAAUGGCUGUACCUUCAGUUUCAACUGCUCAUGGCCAAGGCCCUCAUCAGUGCAGUCUGCCCUGGUGCUCUUCUGAAGGGGAGACUCUAUUCUGCGGGAUCUUUGAAGCAGAUUUGUCCAGAAUGGGCUGUAGUUUUGGUCUUAAAUUCUCAUGGCCAAAGCCAACAUCAGCGCAGACAAGUCUGUGACCUGAGAUUUUGUGUCAGAGGGUAAAGCAUCCUGGUACGUGUCAG